rnacentral:lncRNA from 10 species
CAACAGAGCUGUGAGUUGGAAAACUCUGGUCUCAAAUUAACAUCUAGAAAGUAGAUUAAAUUUGUUUGUAAUAGACUAGCUAAAGUUUAACUAGCUUUCUUAUUACUGUAAUUUCACAUUUAAAGUGUGCAUAAUUAAAAACAUUUGCUAGAAGAAAACAGCAUUUGAGAGUGAACAAAAGCUUUGAACUGAUAUGUUAAAUAUGCAGUGCCAAAGAAACACUCGGGAGAAAGUCCAGCAUGCAAUUGGAAAUUCAAGGCUGCUCAUCAGUGGAGUAGCAAGUCUGAAAACAUUUGUCAACUCUGCUUGAUCUUUCCACAUACCUCAUCGGAGAAUCAGAGAAGAUGGAAGGAGUGAAAGAAGACACUGAAAAACACAAUACUAAAGAAGCCCAUUACAGCAACUUCCUAAAGCACUUUGUAAAAGGCACAAAUAUGUCUAGAAUAUUUUUCCUAAUAUUUAUGGGAAAUUAAAAAAAAUAUUAAUUAGGAAUCAGGAGAGUAAUCUUUGCAGUAAAACGACCUCAUUUCUACCUCAAUAACUAUUGUCACUCUAAAAAUGAGAGAAGAAAACAUUUGGGCAUGUUUUGGUGAUAUUUAUUGCUUCUGUCUUUACCUGUCAUUUUCAAACUCAUCUUUUCUGACUUAAUGACUUAACUUUGCUUAUGGCAAAGGCUCAAUACACCUUUUAUUUCAGCUGAGAUUCUGUGCUUAAAAAGAGACCUAAGCAAAACAUUUUACAGACUAUUCCUGAGAGAGCUCAGAAUUAAAUUCUUAAAUGUUCUACCAUAAUGAAAUUUUGUGUAAUCAGCAGGGAAGUAGCUGUUGGCCAUUUAUCAGUUUUUCCAGUUGCAUUUUUUAUGCAUGAAAAGCAUAAUUAGAAGCUCCACAGGUUGAAAGCCUUAUAUAAUAAUAGUACAUUUUAUCAGAAUGGUGCUUUUUAACUUGGAAAUUUUAGAGCAUUUUACAGUGAUGAUCUAUUAGUAAUAAUAGCUAUCACAUCUUUGUAUAUUUAAAUAUGGACCUGUAUGUAGAACAGAGAAUGUACUUAUAAAACUAACUAGACUUGCCUAGACCUUGUACAUAUGAUCUCAAUGACUCUAAGUAUAUGCAAAUAGUCCAUCAUCUAUAUUUUAUGUAUUACAGGAUAUCCAGGGAUGGGAAAACGUGCACUGGAUAAAAAUCUCGGAAAUAAUUAAAACUACAUUUUCAGUUUUACAAGGACAUUCAUGUAUAGUUCAUCUUUUAAUCUUAAUAAUGGCUUUUGUCCCAUUUUAGAGAUGUGGUAAUUCAGACCAGAAAUAUAAUGGCUUUGCCUGAAGUUUCCUAUCUGGUGACUCACUCACAACUGAGGCCCACACCUUCCUGAGUCCAGGGACUGUUCUCCUCAUACAUAGUUACACGCAGGGACUUCCCUAUGGAAUUUCUGGGUGUUGAAGCAGGUCAUCUUACUUUUAAGUCAGUUUGCUAACCUGUAUAAUGAAAUAGUAGUUCUAAAAAAAUCUUCUCUCACAGCUGCAAAUCUCUACAAAUUGUCUAAAUUCCCCUCUAAAUAGGAGAAAAAGAGCCUCAGUUGCAACGUAAACAAAAUUUGUGCUCUGUGAGGGAAAAGAAAUGUGACUUUUAUAAAAAGUCUUAUCACUUUAAAAAAUGCUGACAUCCCUGAAGAUAGAUUGCUGGGGCUCUCUUCUCUCCUUGCUUCUCCUCUUUCUCCCUCCCCACCCUUCUCUUUUUUCUUGUUAAUUUUUUAUUCUUAACAUGGAGAAAAAAACUUGCCUCUCUUAGGCAGUAUUUGCAGUCAUGAUAUUUUUAUAUUGUAGUAUCAUUUAAGUUGGGUCAUAACCUACUACGGCUUAUGAAGAUAAUUUAGUGAGCUGUACCAGUAUUUUGAAAAAUGAAAUAGACCCGAAUACAACAGACUGUAAUAGAAAAUAUUGGAACACAUUCUAUUUAAAAAAUUAGUCAAAUUUGGAAGAAAGAAGUUAAAAAGUUGGGCAGUAUAUCUUUCUAUAUCACCCAUGGGCAUUACUGGCUCAUAUGGCCCAUUAUUGUUACAACCAAGAAUUAUUCAGGGAAAUGAACUUAGUUUGACUCACUACUAAUAAAGAAUCCAAGAUUUAGUAAAAAUGCAUGUUAAAUUAUACAUUUUUAUUAAGUAUAGAUGCAAAUUAUUUCUGUCCAGUAAAUAGAUAACACUAAAUUUUAUGGUUAAUUGUCCUUUAGUACAUUAAUCAGUUUUCUAUCUAACCUAGUAAUCUUAAUAUCUUUUCAUUAAAUUGUUCAUAAACAUCUAGCACUUCAAAUAAUCUUAUAAUCUUAAAAUCCUAUUGGAUGUCUUAUUAGUAAGUUAAAUAAAAUUCUGGAUGUGCUCAUUUUACUUUUCUAUGAUGUAUUAGUCAGGGUUUUCUAGAGAAAUAUGACUAAUAGAAUACAUAUAGGUAUGAGAAGAGGAUAUUUAUAAUGAGAAUUGACUGAUGAGAUUAUGGAGCCUGAGAAAUCCCGUAAUAUGUUGUCUACACGCUGGAGAAUCAGAAAAGCCAAUAGUGUAAUUCACCUUCAAGGCUAAAGGCUUGAGAAUGAAGGAGUGCAGGGGAAGUGGUGGGGGCACUGGUGUAAGUCCCAGAGUCCAAAGGCCUGAGAACUAAGAGCUCUGGUGUCCAAAGGCAGGAGAAGAUGAAUCUUCCAACUGAAGAAGAGAGAGAAAGGGAGAGAAUAAACCCUUUCUCUGCCUUUUUGUUUUACCUGUUCCCUCAAUGGAUUGGCUGAAUAAUGCCUGCCUACACUGGUGAGAGCAAAUAUUCUUGAAUCUAGUGAGUAGUCUACUGAUUCAAAUGCUAAUCUCUUCCAGAAGCACCCUUACAGACAGACCCAGACACAAUGUUUCACCAGCUACCUAGGCAUCCCUUAAUCCAGUCAAGUUGAAGCAUAAGCAUCACCUAUAAGAAUAUUUUAACUUUUUAAUAUUAUACUUUGACAAUCCUAUAUAAUACUAGGUAAGUAUUGUUUGAUAAAACUGGUUUCAAUUAUCAUGUAUAUAUGGAUAUAUAAUAAGUAACACUGUAAACUGUAUUUCAUAUUGUGGAUCAUGCUCAAAAGUGUUUGAAAGUCAAUGAAUUAAAAAAUGUAUCCAAU